AUUGAACGCUGGCGGCAGGCCUAACACAUGCAAGUCGAGCGGAUGAAGGGAGCUUGCUCCUGGAUUCAGCGGCGGACGGGUGAGUAAUGCCUAGGAAUCUGCCUGGUAGUGGGGGAUAACGUCCGGAAACGGGCGCUAAUACCGCAUACGUCCUGAGGGAGAAAGUGGGGGAUCUUCGGACCUCACGCUAUCAGACGAGCCUAGGUCGGAUUAGGUAGUUGGUGGGGUAAAGGCCUACCAAGGCGACGAUCCGUAACUGGUCUGAGAGGAUGAUCAGUCACACUGGAACUGAGACACGGUCCAGACUCCUACGGGAGGCAGCAGUGGGGAAUAUUGGACAAUGGGCGAAAGCCUGAUCCAGCCAUGCCGCGUGUGUGAAGAAGGUCUUCGGAUUGUAAAGCACUUUAAGUUGGGAGGAAGGGCAGUAAGUUAAUACCUUGCUGUUUUGACGUUACCAACAGAAUAAGCACCGGCUAACUUCGUG
rnacentral:rRNA from 1 species